GUUGGUGGGGUAAAAGCCUACCAAGGCGAUGAUGGGUAGCCGGCCUUAGCGGGUGUCCGGCCACACUGGGACUGAGAUACGGCCCAGACUCCUACGGGAGGCAGCAGUCGAGAGGCUUCCACAAUGGGGGAAACCCUGAUGGAGCGACGCCGCGUGGGUGAUGAAGGUCUUCGGAUCGUAAAGCCCUUUCAGUAAGGAUGAAGUUAUUCCAUACUAAUACUGUGGAGUAAAAGACGGUACUUACAGAAGAAGCUCCGGCUAACUCCGUGCCAGCAGCCGCGGUAAGACGGAGGGAGCAAGCGUUGUUCGGAUUUACUGGGCGUAAAGGGCGUCUAGGCUGAUUUGAAAGUCAGAUGUGAAACCCCCCGGCUUAACCGGGGAACUGCAUUUGAUACUGCAAGUCUUGAGUACGGAAGAGGAGAGCGGAAUUCCUGGUGUAGCGGUGAAAUGCGUAGAUAUCAGGAAGAACACCGGUGGCGAAGGCGGCUCUCUGGUCCGAUACUGACGCUGAAGCGCGAAAGUGCGGGGAGCGAACAGGAUUAGAUACCCUGGUAGUCCGCACCGUAAACUAUGGAUACUAGGUGUCAGGGGUACCGACCUCUCUGG
rnacentral:rRNA from 1 species